rnacentral:rRNA from 1 species
AGUGAACGCUGGCGGUAGGCCUAACACAUGCAAGUCGAACGGCAGCACAGUAAGAGCUUGCUCUUACGGGUGGCGAGUGGCGGACGGGUGAGGAAUACAUCGGAAUCUACUUUUUCGUGGGGGAUAACGUAGGGAAACUUACGCUAAUACCGCAUACGACCUACGGGUGAAAGCAGGGGAUCUUCGGACCUUGCGCGAUUGAAUGAGCCGAUGUCGGAUUAGCUAGUUGGCGGGGUAAAGGCCCACCAAGGCGACGAUCCGUAGCUGGUCUGAGAGGAUGAUCAGCCACACUGGAACUGAGACACGGUCCAGACUCCUACGGGAGGCAGCAGUGGGGAAUAUUGGACAAAGGGCGCAAGCCUGAUCCAGCCAUACCGCGUGGGUGAAGAAGGCCUUCGGGCUGUAAAGCCCUUUUGUUGGGAAAGAAAAGCAGCAGGUUAAUACCCCGCUGUUCUGACGGUACCCAAAGAAUAAGCACCGGCUAACUUCGUG